CGCUUCCUGACCCGGUCCCUCUGCACCAGCGUGGAGGGGGGAGGGGCGCGCACCCUUUCCGCCCAGGCUUUUGCGGGCUCCUCGGGCCGAACCCGAAGGGGCUGUUCCUGAACCUUGACUUGUUAUCAUAGGGACCCAAGCUCUAUUUUUGUGUGGCCAAUUCGUGCACUGCAGCAAAAUGGCCCUUCAGUCGCGUCUUGGGGUUUCUCCUCGGUUCAAAUGCUCUCGCGCUGAGAAAAAGCCGGAGGAAAAAAAAGCGACACCCUCCCUCCCCCAUUAAUUAUUUGUGGGGCCGGAGUAACGCGGGCUGGUGCAACCGGUGCAUAUAAGGACUUGUGUGCAAGGAAGGGGAUCCGCCUCCAGGCGCGGAAAGAGUAGGGAAGAAGCGCACACGCACAGUGCACCCAGCUGGGCGCUUCGGCAGUUUGCAGCUGCGGCGGGGUCGGGUCCACCCGCGGUCCCCGGAAUGCCGGACGGCUGAUCCCGGGUGCUGGUCACUCGCCGAUUCGGGGCUGGGAAGGUUUGCCAGAAGCGGGAAAGAUGGGAGAUCUGAGCGCUCUCUUGGCAUCGCCACACCCAGGACUUGCUCGUGCCGCAAUUCCCCACGGAAACAACCGAGUUGAAACGAGAAGCUUGCUCUCUGGGUGCAGUAGCUAGAAGGCUUCAGGUAACUCCAAAGCCAACACUGGGUGAGGCAACACACGCCGCCUCAGGACUCAGCAUUUCUUUCAGGCUGCGUUUUCGUGGCAGACCUACCCAGAUUGAUGGAGAAAGUUUGGCUGGCGGAUAAGAAGUAACGCGGAAGAUGUAUUAUUGUGGCUGUCACUCAGGUUUUCUGCUCAUUGGUAGACAAAGGGUGAGGAGGUGACUGAAAUUGGAACAGUGGAAGGACCCUUCACCAAAACCUGGAACUUCAGAAGAAUGGCAGGGCUGAAAAUGAUUAGUGUUAAUUCAUUCCAGUUGUGUUACCCUACCCAUAAGCCCACCCAAGAAUUUAUCAUCAUCUUGAACAGCUUUUCUUUAGAAAAUAAAGCUCCAAUUUUCCUUUGUCCAAUUAGUCUACCCUUCCAGCUCCCCGGCAGCCUUCACUGACAUUACUGCUGUUUUUCACUGACAUUACCGCUGCCUUACAAAGACUCUAUUUCUGUACAUUGGUAGCAUUCUUCAUUAUUUUCCAAUUGGUCUUACCUCUUACCCUUCCUCUUUCCAAUUUUGUGCUGGACCUCAGACUGCCUGAAGGAGCCUGAACUUCCACGUGCUGUCUUCCAUAUAAUGUGAUCUGAGGUGAAGAGCAUGGUCCCUGGAGUUGAACUGCCUGAAGUAAAUCCCAAAAUAGAAAAAUAAAAAUAAAACAGUGGUUUUAUUGUUUUUAUUUCUUGUUUCUCAUUGAUAGGUAGAUAGAGAGUUUUCUUUAAAAGCCUAGUGCUUUUGGGAUAAUAAUGGCAAGUGAUUACAUCUCUUUUGUAUUAAAUAGGUUUGGAGAAAUUUUCUUAAUUAUCUGGUACUAUUUAAACUCAAAGGCAAACACAACACUCUAUCUAAAAUACCAGUAUUACACUUUCCCUAAAUGCAGAAAACUAUUUUUACUAAAAAUUUGGCAAGCACUUUCAAAACAGCAUUUUUCUGUUUUCAUUCCUUGAGAAUUUCCUAACAAGUAUGC
rnacentral:lncRNA from 10 species